GUGUCAGCCGCCGCGGUAAGACGGAGGGUGCAAGCGUUGUUCGGAAUUACUGGGCGUAAAGGGCGCGUAGGCGGUCCGCUAAGUUCGGCGUGAAAUCCCCUGGCUCAACUGGGGAACUGCGCUGGAUACUGGUGGACUCGAGUACCGGAGAGGAGAGUGGAAUUCCUGGUGUAGCGGUGAAAUGCGUAGAUAUCAGGAGGAACACCGGUGGCGAAGGCGGCUCUCUGGACGGAUACUGACGCUGAGGCGCGAAAGCGUGGGGAUCAAACAGGAUUAGAAACCCCAGUAGUCC
rnacentral:rRNA from 1 species